AGAAUAAUACUACGUUAGAAAAGUAAUCUUUUCCUUGUUUUUAGAGAGUUAGCGAUUGGUGUAAGCUGACAACAAGCAAGAUGAAAUGGGCUAAUGGUUAUUUUGAGAGGAAAACAUAACUUUCAGGUCGGCACCCCUUAUCGUGCAACUUCUUAAUUAUAGAGAAGAUUGAGAUACUAUCCUGUUUUAUCAGAGAUAUUAAUUGAGGUGGUACCGCGUAUUACUUGUCAUGACGCCCUCACG
rnacentral:ncRNA from 1 species